CUGGGCGUAAGGGCGUGUAGGCGGUUUUCUAAGUCCGGGGCUAAAGACCAGGGCUCAACCCUGGGUAUGCCUUGGAUACUGGAAGGCUGGACGGCUGGAGGGGGCAGCGGAAUUUCCGGAGUAGCGGUGAAAUGCGCAGAUACCGGAAGGAACGCCAAUAGCGAAGGCAGCUGCCUGGACAGUACGUGACGCUGAGGCGCGAAAGCGUGGGGAGCAAACCGGAUUAGAUACCCGGGUAGUCCACGCCCUAAACCAUGAGUGCUGGGUGUCCGGCGUUUGCCGGGUGCCGAAGCUAACGCGUUAAGCACUCCGCCUGGGAAGUACGGUCGCAAGACUGAAACUCAAAGGAAUUGACGGGGGCCCGCACAAGCGGUGGAGCAUGUGGUUUAAUUCGAAGGAACGCGAAGAACCUUACCAGGCCUUGACAUCCUAGGAACCCUGAUGAAAGUUGGGGGGUGCCCGCAAGGGAGCCUA
rnacentral:rRNA from 1 species